rnacentral:lncRNA from 1 species
GACGACUCCAUACUUGGCAAGCUCCCCGCAAUCUCACGCAGGAUACCAAUAGCGAAGCAAGACCGAACUAUAACCAUCAAGCCCGAACGUAUAAAAGUAUAAGUCCUAUAGAAGACCAAACCUACCCAAGUAUACCCACGUGUACAAAAAGAAGGUGGGUCCUAUGUGACCAUAUCUACCGGGAAGGCAUAUACACUAAGGUUCUCGACUCUAAGGUUGGUGAUCCCCGGAGGAACUCUCGUCUCCACUAGAAACCUCAAAAAGACAAGACGACGACCCAGCG